UACGUAGGGAGCGAGCGUUGUCCGGAAUUACUGGGUGUAAAGGGAGCGUAGGCGGGAAGACAAGUUGAAUGUUAAAUCUAUCGGCUCAACCGGUAGCCGCGUUCAAAACUGUUUUUCUUGAGUGAAGUAGAGGUUGGCGGAAUUCCUAGUGUAGCGGUGAAAUGCGUAGAUAUUAGGAGGAACACCAGUGGCGAAGGCGGCCAACUGGGCUUUUACUGACGCUGAGGCUCGAAAGCGUGGGGAGC
rnacentral:rRNA from 1 species